GUAGGUGGCAAGCGUUGUCCGGAAUUAUUGGGCGUAAAGCGCGCGCAGGCGGUCCUUUAAGUCUGAUGUGAAAGCCCACGGCUCAACCGUGGAGGGUCAUUGGAAACUGGGGGACUUGAGUACAGAAGAGGAAAGCGGAAUUCCAAGUGUAGCGGUGAAAUGCGCAGAGAUUUGGAGGAACGCCAGUGGCGAAGGCGGCUUUCUGGUCUGUAACUGACGCUGAGGCGCGAAAGCGUGGGGAGCAAACAGGGAUUAGAUACCCUGGUAGUCCACGCCGUAAACGAUGAGUGCUAAGUGUUAGGGGGUUUCCCGCCCCUUAGUGCUGCAGCUAACGCAUUAAGCACUCCGCCUGGGGAGUACGGCCGCAAGGCUG
rnacentral:rRNA from 1 species